AGAUGUGCGGCGCUGGCGGCGGUGCGCUUGCGAGCGCGUGUCGGCAUCGCUAUCCGUCUCUCCGUAGUAGGCCUCGCUGUCCGGCGGCGAGGUCACGCCGCUGGGUUCGAUGGAGGAACUCACAGAGAGAAGCGGAGGAGGCCUUUUUCCAUGACUGGCUUCCAACUCCUCUUAAAGAGGCUAUUCUUAUCCUGCAGCUCUGUGACCCAUCAUUCCCCGACCAGGCUUAUCUGAGAGGCUUCUGCUGCUCCCUUCCUCCCUGGAGCCUGAAGCCCCACGGGACGCCCCCAGAAAGGGAGACCACGAUCUCCUCCGCCACCAUCCCUGCUCCAGGUCUUCUUGUGUGGGUGCGAGGGUCUUCGCUUGCUCACA